CUUUCGGGCAAUAAUCAUAAUC
rnacentral:miRNA from 2 species